AGUGAACGCUGGCGGUAGGCCUAACACAUGCAAGUCGAACGGCAGCACAGUAAGAGCUUGCUCUUACGGGUGGCGAGUGGCGGACGGGUGGGGAAUACAUCGGAAUCUACUUUUUCGUGGGGGAUAACGUAGGGAAACUUACGCUAAUACCGCAUACGACCUACGGGUGAAAGCAGGGGAUCUUCGGACCUUGCGCGAUUGAAUGAGCCGAUGUCGGAUUAGCUAGUUGGCGGGGUAAAGGCCCACCAAGGCGACGAUCCGUAGCUGGUCUGAGAGGAUGAUCAGCCACACUGGAACUGAGACACGGUCCAGACUCCUACGGGAGGCAGCAGUGGGGAAUAUUGGACAAUGGGCGCAAGCCUGAUCCAGCCAUGCCGCGUGGGUGAAGAAGGCCUUCGGGUUGUAAAGCCCUUUUGUUGGGAAAGAAAAGCAGCAGGUUAAUACCCCGCUGUUCUGACGGUACCCAAAGAAUAAGCACCGGCUAACGUCG
rnacentral:rRNA from 1 species